rnacentral:rRNA from 1 species
CAAUAAGCGGAGGAAAAGAAACCAACAGGGAUUGCCCUAGUAACGGCGAGUGAAGCGGCAACAGCUCAAAUUUGAAAUCUGGCUACUUGUAGUCCGAGUUGUAAUUUGUAGAGGAUGCUUUUGGUGAAGUGCUUUCUGAGUUCCCUGGAACGGGACGCCAGAGAGGGUGAGAGCCCCGUACAGUUAGCAACUGAUCCUUUGUAUAGCUCCUUCGACGAGUCGAGUAGUUUGGGAAUGCUGCUCUAAAUGGGAGGUAUAUCUCUUCUAAAGCUAAAUAUAGGCUAGAGACCGAUAGCGCACAAGUAGAGUGAUCGAAAGAUGAAAAGCACUUUGAAAAGAGAGUUAAACAGCACGUGAAAUUGUUGAAAGGGAAGCGCCUAUGACCAGACUUGUCUCUAUCAGUUUUGGUAGUUUUCGGACUGCUUUACUCUGUUAGUACAGGCCAACAUCAGUUUGUUGUCGGGGAGAAAGGCUUAGGGAAUGUGGCUCCUCUUUUGUGGGAGUGUUAUAGCCCUUUGCAUAAUACCCUUCGGCAGACUGAGGACCGCGCUUCGGCAAGGAUGUUGGCGUAAUGG